rnacentral:rRNA from 1 species
GUCUAUGGCCAUACCACCCUGAACAUGCCCAAUCUCAUCUGAUCUCAGAAGCUAAGAAGGGUCAGGCCUGGUUAGUACUUGGAUGGGAAACCACCUUGGAAUACCGGGUUUUGUAGGCU